ACGCACGCUGGCGGCGUGCUUCACACAUGCCAGUCGCACGGAAAGGCCCUGCUUUUGUGGGGUGCUCGAGUGGCGAACGGGUGGGUAACACGUGAGUAACCUGCCCUUGACUUUGGGAUAACUUCAGGAAACUGGGGCUAAUACCGGAUAGGAGCUCCUGCUGCAUGGUGGGGGUUGGAAAGUUUCGGCGGUUGGGGAUGGACUCGCGGCUUAUCAGCUUGUUGGUGGGGUAGUGGCUUACCAAGGCUUUGACGGGUAGCCGGCCUGAGAGGGUGACCGGCCACAUUGGGACUGAGAUACGGCCCAGACUCCUACGGGAGGCAGCAGUGGGGAAUAUUGCACAAUGGGCGGAAGCCUGAUGCAGCAACGCCGCGUGCGGGAUGACGGCCUUCGGGUUGUAAACCGCUUUCGCCUGUGACGAAGCGUGAGUGACGGUAAUGGGUAAAGAAGCACCGGCUAACUACGUG
rnacentral:rRNA from 1 species